UACGUAGGGGGCAAGCGUUGUCCGGAUUUAUUGGGCGUAAAGAGCGUGUAGGCGGCUUAGAAGGUCAGCUGUGAAAACUCGAGGCUCAACCUCGAGACGUCGGUUGAAACCACCUGGCUAGAGUCCGGAAGAGGAGAGUGGAAUUCCCGGUGUAGCGGUGAAAUGCGCAGAUAUCGGGAAGAACACCCGUGGCGAAGGCGGCUCUCUGGGACGGUACUGACGCUGAGACGCGAAAGCGUGGGGAGCGAACAGG
rnacentral:rRNA from 1 species